rnacentral:rRNA from 1 species
AUGGCCUACUUCGAUGAGAAAGCGAAGGAAGAUCCAGAUUUCUUCUACAGGAUAAGAUUGGAUGAUAAGGACCAUGUCAGGAACAUGUAUUGGGUGGAUGGUGCUGUAAGAAGAGCCUACAAAUUCCGAGAUUGCAUUUCAUUCGACACGACAUAUCUCACUAAUAUGUACAAGAUGCCAUGCGCUCCAUUCAUAGGAAUAAAUAACCACAAUCAGUCAUUGCAGUUCGGAUGCGGGCUCGUUCAGAACGAAGACACGGAUUACACUUGGCUGUUCAAGACCUUCUUGGAGUGCAUGGAUGGACUUGCUCCAAUGAACAUAAUAACAGACCUGGAUUUUAGCAUGCGUGCAGGCAUAGAGGAUGUCUUUCCGUUGGCAGUGCACAGGCACUGCAGGUGGCACAUUAUAAAGAAGGCUGAGGAGACGCUAGGACCGUUCUUUGCUGACCGUCCAGAGCUGCACAAGGCAUUCGAGCUGUGCGUGGACCACAGCUUGACGAUGGAGGAGUUUGAAAGGAGCUGGAUGACCAUGAUUGGAACAUAUCAAGUCCAAGACAACGAGACGCUUGCUAGGCUAUGGGAGAAGCGAAUGUACUGGGUGCUGGCCUACUUCAUGCAAUGCUUCUUCCCGAUUCUGCAGACUACGUAG